CCUACGGGAGGCAGCAGUGAGGAAUAUUGGUCAAUGGACGAGAGUCUGAACCAGCCAAGUAGCGUGAAGGAUGACUGCCCUAUGGGUUGUAAACUUCUUUUAUAAAGGAAUAAAACGAGGCACGUGUGCCUUUUUGCAUGUACUUUAUGAAUAAGGAUCGGCUAACUCCGUGCCAGCAGCCGCGGUACUACGGAGGAUCCGAGCGUUAUCCGGAUUUAUUGGGUUUAAAGGGAGCGUAGAUGGGUUGUUAAGUCAGUUGUGAAAGUUUGCGGCUCAACCGUAAAAUUGCAAUUGAUACUGGCAGUCUAGAGUACAGUUGAGGUAGGCGGAAUUCGUGGUGUAGCGGUGAAAUGCUUAGAUAUCACGAAGAACCCCGAUUGCGAAGGCAGCUUACUAAACUGUGACUGACAUUGAUGCUCGAAAGUGUGGGUAUCAAACAGGAUUAGAUACCCCUGUAGUC
rnacentral:rRNA from 1 species